rnacentral:lncRNA from 1 species
UAUUCUUAUAGCAGGUCAUUUCCUAUGUUUCCUCUAGACUAUAUGUACCCCAAGGGUGUGACUGAGUGAAUCUAUCUUGAUCUUGGUGAUGUCCUCAAUACUCUGUAUAGUGCUUGGCACAUAGCAGGUUUUAGGUAAGUACUAAUUAGGUAUAUUCAUUCUAAUAACAGGUUCUAUAUCAGUGUCAGAAACCAGUGUUCAUAGAGAAAUUUCAAAUUCAUUCAAGAAGUGUAGAUAUUAUAUUGCCAUCAUUAGGAGUAGAGAGUGUGUGUAUUUUAAAUUAUAAGUAUAUCCAUAUAAAAAUGGCUGUUAUCAUCCAUCUUACAAGAUAUUUGAGAACUUGUAAAAUUUCACAAUGUUUAAUUGUAAGACAUUGCACAUUUCAAUUUUUCGUGAGUUUGACAAAUAUGUAUAUGUUAUUUUAUAUUUCUUAUACAAGAAAGUUUUAUGGCACUAUAAAGAAGUGAGUUUAAUGACUCUAUUUUUGUCCAUUAGUAAAUAUAUACUGAAGAGUAAAUUCUCAUUAAAAGACCCUUAAAUGCUUGCUCAUUAAAAAAAGAGACCUCUUUGAUUUUGCUCUCCAUACAUUCCUAGUUAUUGUAUUAGACAAGUCAUCAAACUCUUUAGUAGUCUAAACCUUUAAUUUGUUUUCAGAAAAGUAGUCAUGUAUUGAACACCCAAAUUACCAUGUCUUUAACAAGUAAUGCUAACACUCUGUAUUAAAAAGGUAAUGACCAUAACUUUUAUAGUAGAAUUUCUUGUACUAAUUUUUAAAAGAGGACUUUUGAGCCAAAUUUCCCGUGAAGACCCAAACUCAUACUUUUAAUGAGAGUGGAGUACGUAUGUAUAUGUAGAGGGGAAGGGGUUGUAAUUUUUGUGGUGGUAUUUUUAAGUGGACAGUUUACUAAUUAUUUUGAGGGAAACACUUUACAACUCUAAAAGGAAAACUUCAAUUAUCUGAAUGAAAUGAGGUACAUGAAAUUAAUUCAGAUAAGUGGGGAAUCCUUAGUGUAAAUGAUGCAUGUCAAAGGGACAUGACCUCAAUCUUGAUUUUUUUCUCCCCCUAUAUAUCUGUCAGCUGCUUUUAUGUUACUAGAUUGUAAUUCCUUUUAUUCAUACUAAGAAUCAUUGAUGGGAGGGAGGUAAAGUUGCUCUACAGAUUUUUUUUUUUUCCUUUGCCACAGAAGAAUCCCUGGUGGUAGUCUGUGCUGAGCAUAAUUGCUCAUCUCUACCCUGUAUUGCCUGCCAAUUUUAGGUGGUACACCACAGCCUUCCAUUUUGUCACCUUCCUGUCAAAUGUGUAUGGGAACCCCUUGAGACUACAAUUGAAUUGAAAUUAAAGCCACAUUUCUCUGUUCAAUUUCAAGAUGUUUAUCCUUCUUAAAAGUUGAGUUUCUACAAGUUGUAAGAGUACAUUGAGCUGGAUAAACCUUGUUUCCUUCUCUCUUGACUUGCUUAGGUUUUCAUAUUAAGCAGUUAUUUUGCAAUGUGAACCCUUAAAAUAUAAACAAACCUCAGGGCCUGACCCCUGACCUUUGUAAAUCCUAAGUUGAAAUGGAAAUUUUAGUCAUUGGGGUUGAGGAAAAUGAUUUCUGCUGCAGUUGACUAAGUUUUGCAGUAUUCUUGGGUUCAUGGCAUCUGAAAGCUAUUGUGUAAUCUGUAGCAAACCCCUAUAGCUGUGAUGAUAUUGUCUUCUAGGCUUUCUUUUGUUUUGUUUUUAAGUGGAGGCAAACUGUUGCAGCCACAGAGAUGUGGGCUGACACCUUUACAAAUGAAUUUACUUCUCUUUAACAUUACUAUAGGUUCUUUACUUGAAGCACCUGAGACCAUGCCUUUAUUUUCAGCAUGUACCAGCUUUCUUUUCAUCUCUUGGUUUUUAAGAUACAUGAUGAUUCAUAUCUUGAUUGCCUUGGGUAGUAUGUGGUAUCAGCAAGCUCUGCACCCAGACCUGGUGAGCAGCUCCUAGGUCAUUGUUUGAUGUUCCCCUAAGUAUGUGCAGGUGGUGUGACUAAAGAUUUUGGGCUUGAGGGUUAGCCCAGACUGAUUUUGACUCUUUACCAUUUAUGAUCAGUAUGCCUCUGUGAAAAAUUAGGUACUUGUCUCAGUUUCAGUUUCCUCAUCUUUAAAAUGUGACUAUCAUUUGGCAAUGUUGAGUUGGUUUUAAAAAUUAUUUAAAAAGUAAUCUUGGUGUGUUAGUUCAUUGUCAUAUUCAAAUAGUGUAAAUUAAUGCAUUGUCUAGCUCAUAGACUAUUUUAAAUGGAAGUAGAUUUUGUUCCAUUUAAAAAUAGAGGUAAUCAAGUUGGCGGAAGGCUUUCCAAAUAGAGGUCUUGCCCUUUUGACUUCAAAACUAUAUAAAACCCUUGUAAGCUAUUGAUCUAUUCAUAUAUACAAAUGAUAUACCAGUGUGUGAUGUACAGAGGUGGAACAUGCACUGACUGUAGUUUGGUCCAAAGGCUUGAUCUCCAGAAUUGCCAUUUUGAGAGUUGCUAUGGUCCUUCAAGAGGUAGGGCAUUGUAGGAUGCCCUAAGGUCACUGGGGGUGUGCUCUCAAGAGGAUUGUGGGACCUUGGUCUUAUCUUCUCUUUCUGCUUCCUGGCUCAUGAUGUGAGUACUCCCUCUGACAUGUGGUCCCACCAUGACAUGCUGCCCUUGCCAGAGGCUCAAACCAUGCAGCCACAUCGUUUUGGAGUUGAACCUCUAAAACUAUAAGCUGAAUAAGCCUUCUUUUCUUUAUAAGUAACUUAUAUCAGGUAUUCAUGUGGUAACACAAAUCUGACUACCGUACUCUGGAGUCAGACAUACUUGGAUUUGUAUAUAGAUGAUCUACCUCUUUCCACUUGAGUAACCUAGAGCAGAGUAUUUUAGCUGUUUGUUCAAAGUUUUUAUCUAUAAUGAAGAUAAAAAGACUAAUAAAGAUUAAAAAAUUAUAAAAAGAUUAUUAUUGAAACUUAGGUUAAGCAUGCAAAAUACUUCAUUGUAUCUGAGUCCAUUAAAUACUGGUAGUUAUCAUUUUGACCUUGGACAGAUAAUUUCCUGCUUCUACCCCAGGUUUCCAUAUCUGUACUACAACAGCUAGUGAAUACUGUUAUCAUCAAGAGUAAAUGAGAUAAUACAUGUAUGUGUUUACAAAAUGUUAAUAGCUAUUGUAUAUAUUAAUUCAGCUUCGGAAUAAAUUAGAUCAAUUUUGAGUUAAAGAAUUUUUCUACAUAUUUGAUAAAUUUAUUAUUUAUCCAACUUAAAUCAUUCAUAGCUUUCAGUAUUUUCUUAAGACAGUAUUUCUUAAAUUGUGGUGUACAGACCCUUUGGAGUCACAGAGUUGCUUUUAGGGGUACUAUGAGAAUAAAACUACUAUCAGAACAGUAAAUUUUUGCUUUUUUGUUUAAUGUUUUCCCUGCUUGUGCAAAGCUAGUGAUGAGUAAAACCAUCGAAAUCUUAAUAGAAAUUAAAUGCCAGCGGUACCAAACUAUACUAGUAAUCAUUGUAUCCUUCACUGAGAUGCUUUCACAGGUUAAAGUAAAACAACAACAAUGAAAACAAAGCUGGAGGUAUCCAGCUGACUUCACAUAAGAAAGUCCUUGAUAAAGUGGUAACAGUUAUUAAUCUUGUGAAAUUUUGACUCUGGAUAUUUUUUUAUUUUUAAAUUUGGUGUGAUGAGAUAGGACAUUUGCAAAAAGCACUUCUGCUGCACAUCCUGAGCACAUUGCUUGUCUAGAGGAAAAACCUUAAGUGUGAGUUUUUUUCUUUUGAGUUACCAAUGGAACUAGCCAUAUUUUUCAUGAAAUACCACUUUUGCUUUAAAGAAUCACUACUGGACAAACUCUGAUUAUUUAAAUUAUUUGGCAAUCUUUUUCUUGAAAAAUGAACAAAAUAAUGAGCCCAUCACUUUAAGGAAAAUUACUGACAGUGUUUGUUGUCAGUGAUAAAAAUGCAAACUUUUAAAAUGAAAAUUAAAGAUUUGGAUAAUUAACUUGGUUAAAUUUUAGAUAAUUUUAGGUAACUUGUGUUACUUCCUAUGCUUUUGUUUGCUUUUAAUAUUUAAAAAUUUUUUUGAUGAGAGAGGGUGAUAUUAAUGAAUGUGAGGUUUUUUUUUUUUUUUUUUUUUUGGUCAUAUAAUGAAUUAUGUCAAGAUUUGUAGUACCUACAUAACUGAAUAAACCACUAUUUUCUAACUUUCCAGUGUUACAAAAUUAUGGGUAAAAAGAUCCUUUCAAAUAGCAAGUAAUAGAAAAAUAAAUAUUACAGAAUACAAAAAUUUCAUAUAUAUUGGAUUCCACAUUUAUAAUUAGUCCUUAAGAAACUCCUACUUGUCAAGUUUUGCUGAAUUAUCAAAAAGAACAUCCUUAAUUAUAUGAAUAAUUGGUUAAUAUUAACACUCUUUUCAUGAUGUGUUUGAGGCCAUUUUUUUUUCAUAUAACUCAAUCAAAAUAAUGUAUCAUAACAGAUUGAAUAUAGAAGUAGAUAGGAAAAGCUACCUGUCAGGGCUGGGGCUGUAGUUCGGUGUUAGAGCACUUGCCUAGCAUGGGUGAGGCACUGGGUUCUAUCCUCAGCACCACAUAAAAAAUAAAUUAAUUAAAGUUAUUAAAAAAAAGAAAAACAAACAAACCUACCUGUCUUCUAUUAAGCUAAACAUGAAAGAAAUUUGAAAAACUUGCAUAAUAAUGUCACAUUUCUUACUAAGUUACUUUUUUAGUUUGAAAAAAUAGUGAAAUUAUCUUAUUGUUUCUAUAUAAAAUAAAAGUUUUAAAAUGAAUUAAAUAUCUAAGAAUUUUUCAUUUGGCAAAUAUUGACAAUUAGAACUCUUGUGAACAAAACUCUUGGGGGAGUACUCAGUAAUUUUUAAGAACACAAAGGAAUCCUGACAUUGAGAAGUUUGAGAACUGUUUCUUUAAGAAAAGGCUCAUCAAAUGAAUACAGUUUUAAAUAUUUAAUGUUAUUUGAGUAUGGACAGUAUGACUCUAGUUCUUUUCUCAGUUGUAGGGAUAUGUCAUUGGAUUUCUGUUACUUUUUCCAAAUAGGCAGUGUGUUCCUGUGUGUAUUUUUAAAGAAGACUUUCGUUUUUAACUUUUUUUGGUACCGGAAAUUGAACCCAGGGGCACUCAACCACUGAACCACACAACCCCAGUCCUUUUUAUUUUGAGACAGGGUAUUGCUAAGUUGCUCAGGGUCUUGGUAAGUAGCUGAGGUGUUCUUGAGCUUGUUAUCCUCUUGCCUCAGCCUCCCCAGCUGCUGGGAUUACAGGCCUGUGCUACCAUGCCCAGCAAAGAUUUUUAUUUUUAAGAUUGAUGCUACCUAUAGGAUUACACUCAGAAUUGAGAUAUGGUUAAUAGUAAUACCAGUUAGUCUUUUUAUGCUUAAUACCUUUCUUUGGGGGGUUGGUGGUAACCAGGAAUUGAACUCAGGGGCACUUGACCACUGAGCCACAUCCCCAGCCCUAUAUUGUAUUUUAUUUAGAGACAGGGUCUCACUGAGUUGCUAAGCACCUUGGUGUUGCUUAGGCUGGUUUUGAACUCAUGAUCCUCCUGUCUCAGCCUCUCUAGCCGUUGAGAUUACAAGAGUGCGCCACCAUGCUUGGCUUGAUAUCACUCUUUUGUAAUGAGGUAUAUAUGCUGUUUUUGGAGCUUUUCACCAUGGCAAGUAUAUCAGUGUUGUAGUGAAACUCAUUUUGCUGAAUAUAAACUGACAUUUUCUCAGAAGUCCAUACACCAGGCUUAUGUAUUCUGACAUUUCAUAGCUAUUUUCUGGUAUGGUCAAUCUACAGUUUAAGAAUGUGUAUCUGAAUUAGUUACUUGCAACAAAACCAUAUAUAGUAUGAACUACAGAUGAGUAUAUAGUACUAGUAUAGUAUGGACAGUUCAGCCUCAUUGUGGACUAUUAACAUUUUUCUAUGGGAAAUUACAUUUUUACUCCUUGAAAUCUAGCCAAACAUGUAUCUUCAUUGCAAUCUAGCAGUAGCAAGAGAUCCCACUUUGCCCCUCAAAGUAGAAACAGGAUUGUUAAAGCUUUAAUAAUAGCUUUUAACAUUAAAAAGCUUUAAUGUGCUCAAAAGGCACACUAACUUGGGCAUCUUAUGUGAGUGAAAGAUGAUAAUACUCUCAGACGAAGCAAGUAUAUAAACUUUGGGCCAACUAGCAAUAAUGGAGGGAAAAAAGAGAAGGGAUGUUCUGGAGGAUAUUUUGAGGGUGGUAUGUUCCCUUUUGGGACAGACUUUUUUAAAUAAAAAGGUAUAUAUAUGUAGGUUGGAAAAUUCAUAAGUGUAUAUGGAGUUUGCUUUGUUGUGUUUUUAUGGUUGGAGAUUUGUAUUAACUGACCUCAAGCAACAGAAUGACAAGCCAAUUGGGAAGGUUGAACUUACCUUUAGGCCAGAGAUUUGAAAUAAAAAGAGUGAGUGAUGAGCUCCAGGGGCAAUGAUAAUCAGAAGGAGUAGUGGAGGCCAGAAGUAUGUUGAUAUAUGUAGGCUGUAAAGGGGACCCCCAAAAGUCCAUGUUCUAGGGUGGUUGUUAGAACAGGGGGUAGGACUGAUAAUUGGCCAGCACAGUUCAGUCGAAAAUGUUUUACUCAGCUCAUUGCCCUGAGGUCUCUGGCAGGAAAGAUAGAAGACAUGUGUUCUAUACAGGAAGCCCAGCCCAUAUGGAGAGUGGUUGAUAUGAAGUAGAAAUCCAGAACCAUAGGAGCUUGGAGAAAUGGAAGAAGCUAAAGUUGGAAAACUAGAAUUUGACCUGUGUUAAGCUCCUUGCUUCUUCCUGUCCUGUCAAUAUUAAUCCCUUGAAUUGAGGCAAAACUGAACCAAAGGAGACAGAAAGUGACUUAUAGGUGUCAGCAUUGAAGAGACAGGAUUGACCCAACAAAUGUAUGUUAAUUGGAUGGUAAUUAAGACGGGGAACAAUUGGGUCAUUAUAGUAUUUCCACUCAGGUUCUUUAUACAGCAGACCCUGGGUAGCAUAUUACCUGCCCACCAAAAAAUUCUCUAGGCCUGGGGUUGCAAAUUCUUUUUUUAAAGCACCAGAUAGUAAAUAUUUUAAGCUUUAUGGGUCAGAUGGUUUCUGUUGCACUUAAGUCUGUUGCUGCAUGAAAGCAACUGAAGAAAAACACAUUAAUAAAGGAACAUGGCUGUGUUUCAAUAAAGCCUUAUUUAUGAAGACUCAAAUUUGAAUUUCAUAUAUUUUCACAUAUCACAAAAUAUUAGAAAAAUGUUUUUCAGCCAUUUAAUAAUAUAAAACCCAUCUUUAGAUCAUAGCUAUAUAAUAGCAUGCACUAAGCUGGAUUUUGGCCCAUGAGCUCUUGUUUUCUGGCCCCUGUUUUAGGAAAUGAAUGACUUAUCAGUUAUGAUGCAGAAAGCUUAGCAGUACUGAAAUAGAUGUUCUCUAGGACAAUGCUCUUGGUGACACUGUCUUGUUUUGUAGGUGACACUGAUGAUAAAAAUCCGUUCAAGAAUUUAGAUGUGACAUCUGCAGCAGGUUCAAAUCUCUCAGCUAUAAGACAAACUGGAUACUUCAUAAGAAUUGUCAUCUAUUAUGCACAGAGAGCCAAAAUCCGUUACUGAGAUUGUCUGGGUGAGCUGCCUGCUGGGUCCAGUGAUGCAGUAGUAGACAAAGAAGUUGAAAGAGAAGUCUGGCAUAUUCUGUGGAUGACUGGCAGAGUGUGACACCAAUAUGGCAUCAGGCCCUACUAUGAUUCCAAGGACUUUAUGACAAAAUAAAAAAGAAAAAAAAUAUUUGUAAUAGAGCUUGGUGUGAUUGAAGUAAAUAUGAUCUUUAUUUUGGGAAUGUGUACUGCAUUAUCAUUCCAUAAUGAUAUAUAGUAAUUGCCUUGUUAAUCAAACUUUAAACAUUCUAUCUUUAUUCACAAAACUUAUGUAGUUAUUACCUUUUCUAAUUUGGUUCUCUAACUCUAAGGAAAUUCGGUGAAAAAUAACAACUGUUUACUAAGUAGGUUAAUUUAAGGACAAUUAUUUUCACUUGGAAAUUUUUGUUUGGGAUUCUUGAAACUGUGCUCUCAUGUACAGCAUUUAAAAUAUUUCUAUUUGUGAAAAGCUACUUGGAUUUUCUUAGAACCAUCUUUUUGAGUAGACUCCUUUACUCAAUAGUAAAUAGAAAAUAAUAAUGUAGAGUACUAGUAUAUAUAGAAUGUUGAAUUUCUAAAUUGUUUCAGACCUAUUAAUUAUAUACACUUAGAAAAUUUAGCAAGCAGGUAUGAUUAGAAUAAACUUGUGUAUUUUUUUUAGCUAUUGAACCAUAAAACUGGAACAUCAAAGUAGUUCUGAAUCAAAUUGGUGUUUUAUUUGGUUAAUAAUCUUUUUUUUUCUUGGUAUGUAUCAAUUUAUACCAUUAAUAGAGGAUUUGAAAGUAGCACUGGGAAAUGAAGUGGGUAGAUUCUCCCAAAGUUGGAUUCCAUUUUUACCCUCAGUGAAUUGUCAACUUUUUUUUUUUAAAUUUAUUUUUUUAAUGUUAGUAUUCAACAGAAGCUCUGACAGUCUAGGAUAUAAAACAUUUUAUUUAACUUGUACAGCUCAUUUACAAAUGAAGCUUCCCUCGUGACUUAUCUUGAAAUCCUUAUUCAAAGCAUAUACUAUUUAAUUUGUCAGUAUGCCAUUGCCUGACUGCAUGUUUUUGGUCAAGAGUGUAGUGCCACUAACAUAGCCAUCCUGCUAGGAAGAUGAUCUGAAGGUUGCUGGACAGUAGAAUUUACACACUUCUAAUUUACAAGUCAGAUUAGGGUCAUAAUCAUAUGAUAGUUUUAUGUGGAAUUGAUUUCAUGGUUUUUUAAGCUAUUUUUUGUUAUUGCAGCAAUGCCAUUAACUGAAAUGCAGUUUUAUUGUAGCAUGAGAGUACCUCAAACUCUUUUGAAUUUGGAAGAAGAGGGUUGUUGGUAUAGAUGCUUAAAUCCUAAAACUCAGGGAUUUUGUGUACCUGGGUAUGUAUGUAUACACAUAUAUGUGGAUGUGUGGGUUAUCAAACAUAAGGUCUUGUGUAUACUAGAUGGGUGCUCUACCUCUGAGCUAUGUCCUCUGUUCAUAACCCAAGGAGUUUGAAUGAGAAUGUCUCUUAUUGUACAUAAUUUAAUUGCCCAAUGGAUUGAUUUGAGGUUGGUGUGAUAAAUAUUUGAAAAUAUAUGGUAUUUUGAAAUGUAAGUUAUUUUGGAAGGACCAUUUGUCUGUGUGUAUGUGUGUGUUUAAAUCAGCAAUCAAGGGCUGGGGAUGUAGUUCAGUGGUAGAGUGAAUGCCUAACAUGUAUGAGACCUUGGGUUUGAUCCUCAUCAUUGUAAAUAUAAAUAAAAUAGCAAUCACCUUUUUGCCUUAUAGAUAAGAUAUAUUUAGUAAGAGAUGUGAAUUUAGUGUUAAUAGCUCAUUGAAAUCUGGACGUCCCUUGUGGUUUUUGGAGGCUUAGUGUAAGGGGCAAGGGAUAAUAAAUAGAGCACUGUAGUUUACAGUUACUUUUUCUUUUCAAAAUAAGGUAACAUAGAAUAGUACAUAAAUACAAUUUAAUGGGUUAUAGUUAUUCUCAAUUUACCUGUCCAGAUUGAAAUUGAGAACCAUCUCAUAAUAGCAUUAAGAAGUAUUCAUAGCAGAAUGACUAGUGCUAUUCAAUUUGAGUGUUCUAUGUUUAGUUGCAGAAAAACAUCUGUGUUAAAUUUUUGCCAUGGUUCUUGAGCCAUUAAUUGAUUUGUUAAAUAUAGUCAAGAAAAUAAGAAAAUCCGAGUGUUUAAAACUGGGUUUGUAUCAGCAGUCAAAAGAACAUUUGGUUUUAUCCUCACCUACUUUCUUAUGUGGUAGACUCAUGAGUUACUUUCUGAGAUGACAAAACAUUGGGAUGAGGAGGAUGUUAAGAAUUCAUCAGUUAUGUCCUUUUUUCUAUCAACUAUGUUUCACAAAGGAUUUAUUUAGUUAUGACAUUUUUAGGUUAUGAUGAUUUACAUGGACUUCAAGAAGAUUUGGAGAAAAGUUAAUGUAAGGUAAGGGUAUAGUAGGUAUAUAUUACUGUGUUUGUUUUAGUAGAGCAGUGAUUUUAGGUUGAUACUUAUACCAUCUUUGCCUCUAACUUCAUGGUCUCUGAUUAUAGCUGCUUUUUCUUCAGGAGAAUGGGAGGUAAUUUUUUGAAUUUCAGACAUUGGGAAAUUAGUGGAAUGGAGUGAUUUGUUACUGUGGACUGUUUAUUGAAGCUCUGCAACCAGACAUUGAGUAAGGUACUUUACAUAAGUUAUUUCUAGUUCUGUCUACACCCUUGAAAGCGUAUAGAAUUAUCUCCAUUUCAUGAUGAGGAUACUAGGAGUUAAAUGGUAUAUCUUUGAAUAAAUAUUGAAAUAGUGUCCUAUAGCUAGUGAUUCAUUUUGGGAAAAGUUUUUUUUUGUAUCUGGAGAAUGUUUGAUGAAUUAAGAAAUAAAAAUGUAAUCUAAAAAACCAGCAUAUACUAUGGGAAAAUUUCAAGAUUUAACAGCUUUUAACAUGAAUAACUUCAUGUUGGGAUAGAAUGAUGUUGGAGCCUCCUUGAAAACCUUGAUGUGGUACAUUUGCCAAUGAUGAAUCUGGUCUCUAGAAUUAUCUAUUGGGUUGCCUUUGAUAUUAGUAUAGUAUUAUGAUAUAUAACUGUACUUCCGGGUUUAAAUAAUGUCUAGGUAGAAAAUUCAUAUUUAAAGGGUGAGUGAUAAUGAGCUAUUAUAGAAACUGAUGCAUAUCAUAAGUUGAGUUGGAUCACCUCUAAAUAGAAUGUUUAGAGAAAGUAUUUGCAAGUAUGUUUGAAGAAGUGAUGAAAGAAAAUUAAACUAUAUACCCCAGUGAAUUCAGUCUAUUUGAUCAGUUUCCUAAUUCAGUUUAGUUGAACAAAGUUGGAUUUGAGUUGAAGGAAGCUUUAGUGAGCGUUUAGAACAGAAUAAGUAUGGUACUGCACUAAGGCAUUUCAUGGAAAGCAAAGAUGACUGAGACAUUUGCUGUCUCAGGGAAUGGCAUUAGCAUAGACAACUGAAGGUAAUCCAUGACAGAAUAACAUGGGUGCUCUCCAUUUUUAUGUGGCAGUACUGUGGGAAUGUGAAAAAUGUGGUAUGUAUAACUGGGGUUCAGGGUAGGCUAUGUGGAGGAGGCCAGGUUUGGGCUGGAUCUUGAAAGAAGAGAAGGAUAUCAAGUAGGAAGAAGGGUAUUCUAUCCUAAAAUAAGGGGUAAUCAUAGGCAUGGAAUUAGGAAUAAAUAGAUGGCUGGGAAGCAGUAAUACUUAUACUGAACAGAUACAAAUUUUAGAAAAUGGUUUCAACUACCAUUUAAGCAUACUUGCCCACAUUAUAAUUCCAGUAGAGGCUUGACAUAUUUGCUUGUUAUUUGUACGUUUCUUUGGUAAUGCACAAAGUAUCUUUCUUUGUGAUAUAUGGUGUGCAUUAUCAAGGUGGAAAUGUUACUCACUUAAGAGCCUGGAGGGUUAUAAGCAUCAAAAUCAAACUUCUAAGUCUAAUCACAAAGUCUAUUACUUGCCUUGAUUUAAAACAGUAAAAUAUAGAGAUGAUGAUGAUUUUUACAUAUGAACCUAAGAAGCAUUUGGCAAUGCAAUUAGUUUCAUAACAAGUGAUUGUUUUUUAAAGCCUUCCCAGAAUAAGAAUGAGUAUCUUGAUGCUAGUGUCACUUUUAAAUAGCUGUAGCUCCAGGAAUGUGUCUGUUCACAUUAUUAUCUUAAAUAUACACCUUAUCUAUCCAUAUUGCUGUACUUCAAAUGUGAAAGUAAAAAUAAAGGUGUGAAGUGCCUAGCAGACUUGUAUGGAUUUAUGUAAAUCAGAAAACACAAAAAUCCAUUAGUCUCAGUGCUGAAGCCUUGAUGUAUUUAAGUAUGAAAUAUUUCCUUAAAGUUACACACAAACACACACACACACACACACACACCCCAUAAUUUCUAGGGAUUUACUUAGCAAAAAAAAAAAUAUUUAUUUCACUGAACUCCAGACAUGGAUUCAACUGUCGUCUUAUUGCUCCAUAAGAUUAUUAAAGUUAUAUAAAUAUUUAAGUGCCCCAAAUUGAUCCUUUUACCCCAAUUUUUUCAUCUUUGGCCUUUCCCUUGUAAAUUAGUGGACAAUUAGUCUUUAUUUCUUCUUUCCCUUAGACAAACUCUUGGAGUCAUCACUGAUUUCUUUCUUUUCUUUUUAAUAAUUUUAGUUUAUUUUUUAGUGCGUUAUAGUUAUACAUAAUGGUGGGGUUCAUUUUGACAUAUUCAUAAAAGUAUAUAACAUAGUUUUUUCCAUUUUAUUACCCAUACUACCUGCUUCCCUUCUAUCCUCUCUCCUCCAGGUCCCCUUUCUCCACUCUACUGGUCUUUAUUUCUUCUUUUCCUUUUUUCUUCCUUCCUUCCUUGUCCACACUCUGUCAGUAGUUCAUGCUGACUCAUCAAAACACAUCUACAAUUUAAACCUGACCACCUGUCACCACCUUCGCUACUACCUUGUUUAAGCCACUAUCUCUUACUUGGGCUAUUUUAAUAGCCUCCUGACUGGCCUCUCAGCUUCUCAGAACCUGAAACCUAGUCCUCUAAUAUAGUACAAUAACCAGAAAAAUGAUACUAAAACAGAGGUAAAAUCUGUCACUCAAAACUUCAGUUGUUUCCUAUCUUAUGCAUUGUAAAAGCUAAAUCUUGUUAGAAGCCUGCCUAUAAAACUCUGUCUAGUGCACCUUCAUAACCUCAUUAUUUAGAUUUUCUUUGUUUGCUACCUUUCAUUCACAGCUGAAUUGUAUAUUGUUUCUUGAAUAAUUGUUCUGGGAUAUUAAGUUUACUGGUUCUUCUUCCUGAAGUGCUUUUACUAUUAGAUGGCCAUUCAGCUUAUUCUCUAGUCUUUCUUGAUAUGUUAAAUCCCUAGUGAGACCUUCCUUGAUCAUCUUACUUAAAAUGCCUCUCUCCUUCCUACUUCUUUUUCUUGUUUUCACUUCCCCAAAUUCACUGACUGUAUAUUCCAUCUUACUCUUUUGUGGUCUUUUUCUGAUAUGAUGAAACCUUGAUGACUGCAAGGAAUUUUUCCCAAUUUAUUUAAUAUUGGACCACUAAACCUAUUCCCAUACAUAUUUGUUACUUAAUACAUAAUUGACUGAAUGAAUAAAAGAUAUAACUUACUUCAUAGAAGUUAAACCUGUGGUAAAAACCUAAUUUGUCUCCUGUUGACAUCUUUGGGGAAUGAUAUUUCCAAAUGCCUGAGUGUUACUUCUUCAAAAAUUUUAAAUAAUAUAUAUUUGUGUAAUUUGCAUAUAAUAUACUUACUUUAAGCAUGGAGGUCCAUGAAUUUUGGCAAAUAUACACUGUUAUGUAAUAUUUUUGUUCCAAUUAAAAGGUAUAGAAUAUUUCUGUCACUUCAAAAAAUUCCCAUCUCUCCCGUCACUUCUUUCCUCAUCCCCAUCUUUAGGCAACUAUUGAUCUGACUUUUUGUCAUUGUAAAUUUGUUUUACUUGCUCUAGAGUUUCAUAUAAACAGACUUAUACAUUAUAUGUUUUUUCAGUGUGCUAUUUUUGAGGCUAUUAUUAGGUGUCAUAUUAAUUUGUUUUCAUUACAGAAUAGUGUGCCUUUUUUAAUAAAUGUGCCACAAUUUGCUUAUCAGUUUAUUUGUUAUGGACAUUUGAAGUGUUUCCAUUUUUUUGCCUAUAAGUAAUAAUGCCACCCUGAGUGUUCACAUAUGAGUCUUUGUGUAAAUAUGCUUUGUCAUAUGGUAAGUGCAUGUUUAACUUUGAAAGAAAUUUCCCCUCUGUGAUCAUACCAUAUUCACUACCAAUGUCUGAAAUUCUAGUUCCUAAACAUUCUAGCUGGUACUUACCAUAAUUCUUUUAAAUCCAGACAUUCUGUUGAGUGUGUAGUCAUAUAUCUUAUUGUUUUAAUUUUCAUUUAUUAAUUACUUGAAUUACUUGAUUUCCAGUGAUGCUGAUAUUUUCUGUUUUUUUUUGUUGUUGUUGUUGUGGGGAGAUGCUGGGGUUGAAGCCAGGGUUGUUUCAGGUCAUGCGCAUGAUCUUUCCAUUUACUUUUUGGCAAUUGUUUAUCUUUUGUGAAAUGUUUGAUCAAAUCUUGUGUUCAUUUGAGGAAAAAUUGAAUUAUUCAUUGUCAUUCAGUUACAGAGUUCUUUAUAUAUUUGUAUUCAAAUCCUUGUCAGAUGUAUCUUUUCCUGGUCUGUAGAUAUCCUUUUUCUUUUAUUGAUGGUCCAAUUUGAGGAGCAGAGGUUUUCAAAUUUAAGUCUAGUUUAUUAAUAUUUUCUUUUGUGGUCUGUCUUCCUUCCCUCUCUCUCUUUCUUCCUUGAACUCUUUGACUCCUGGUUGUAAGGAUUUUCUCAUUUUCUCUAAUCAUUUUACAGUUUAAGCUUUUUCAUUAGGUCUUUGGUCCAUUUUGAGUAAAUUUUUGUAUACAUGUGGGGUAAAGAUUAAGGUUCACUUUUCUGUCUCUCCUUGUUCAAGGUCCACUUGUUGAAAAAAACUAUCUUUUCUCCUUUAAGUUAUCUUUAAAUGUUUGUUAUAAAUCAACUAAUUGUAUAUGUGUAGUACUUUUCGUAGAUUGUAUUAUAUUGAUCUAUAUGUGUUUCCCGUCAACAUAUUGUUUCAUAGUAAGUCUUGAAAUCACAUAGUGUAAAUUCUUUAACUUCGUUUCUCUUUUUUCAAAUUGUAUUGAGUAUUUCUUUUUCAUUUUCAUAUCAAUUAUAGAUUUGGCUUAUAAUUUUAUGCAAAGUGUCUGUAGGAUUUUAAUUGCCACUGUAUUGAAUUCUGUAGAUCAAUUAGGGAAGCAUUAAUCUCUAGACUACUGUUCUAUUUCAAUCCAUGAACACAAUAUAGCUCCAUUUAUUUAGUUAUUCUUUAGUUUCUCUAAGCAGUAGUUUUCAGUGUGUUGGUUUUUUAAAAUUUAUCCUAAGUGAAUAGGAUAUGAAUUAGAUUUUGAAUGUUUUUGAAAAUGCCAUUUUUUCAAAACAAAAUUUACAAUUUGUAAUGGUUAUUAUUUAGGAGUAGACUUAAUUUUUACAUGUUGAACUUGUAUCCUGCUACCUUGCUAUUUCAUCCAUUUAUGCUUUUAACUUUUGUGAAUUCUUUAGGUUUUGCUUUGUAUAUGAUCCUGUUAAUCACAAAU